GGCUCAGAUUGAACGCUGGCGGCAUGCCUUACACAUGCAAGUCGAACGGCAGCACGGGAGCAAUCCUGGUGGCGAGUGGCGAACGGGUGAGUAAUAUAUCGGAACGUGCCCAGUCGUGGGGGAUAACGUAGCGAAAGCUACGCUAAUACCGCAUACGAUCUAUGGAUGAAAGCGGGGGAUCGCAAGACCUCGCGCGAUUGGAGCGGCCGAUAUCAGAUUAGGUAGUUGGUGAGGUAAAGGCUCACCAAGCCGACGAUCUGUAGCUGGUCUGAGAGGACGACCAGCCACACUGGGACUGAGACACGGCCCAGACUCCUACGGGAGGCAGCAGUGGGGAAUUUUGGACAAUGGGCGAAAGCCUGAUCCAGCAAUGUCGCGUGCAGGAAGAAGGCCUUCGGGUUGUAAACUGCUUUUGUACGGAACGAAAAGGCUCUUUCUAAUAAAGAGGGCCCAUGACGGUACCGUAAGAAUAAGCACCGGCUAACUACGUG
rnacentral:rRNA from 1 species